rnacentral:lncRNA from 1 species
AGGCUCCACAUAAUUCUUAAACCAUUCUCUGGCUUUCUUGCAUUUGAAUGUGAAACCUGCCAUCUCAAUGGCUCUCCUAUCAUCUGCUCCCAAUUCACUGGUUAUCAUCCUAACUGCUCUGAGGUAAUCAAAUGGAUCAUCUCCCGUGUUGUAUUUAGGAGCAUCCAAUUUCAAGUACUCUGUCAUUUGGACUUUACCUCCAGAUGAGCUAGGUUCAUGUCUGUCAACAACAGGGGCUACUGGUUCUGGUGGUAGUACUGGUUCAUUUGG